UACGGAGGGUGCAAGCGUUAUCCGGAAUCACUGGGUUUAAAGGGUGCGUAGGUGGCACGAUAAGUCAGAGGUGAAAGGCCGUCGCUCAACGAUGGAACUGCCUUUGAUACUGUUGUGCUUGAAUCGAGUUGAGGUAAGCAGAAUGUGGCAUGUAGCGGUGAAAUGCAUAGAUAUGCCAUAGAAUACCGAUUGCGAAGGCAGCUUACUGGACUUGUAUUGACACUGAGGCACGAAAGCGUGGGGAGCGAACAGG
rnacentral:rRNA from 1 species